rnacentral:rRNA from 1 species
CUGUAAACUCUUUAUCACGAUAUUCUUCUCCAAUUAUUCUGAUGUUUAUUGGAUACAUUUCUAAAAUGUCACAAAUAUCUUGUUCAGUUACAUAUGGUAUUAUUUCGUCUACAUAUUUUACUGCUUUUAACUGAGUAUAUCUUUCUACCAGCGUUUGUAUGGGUUUAUUUUUUUCUAUUCUUUCCAUACUAGGAUCAACUUGUAAACCACAUAUUAGGUAAUCACAUUGAGAUUUUGCUUCACGCAACAUUUGAAUAUGUCCACUAUGACAAAGAUCAAAUGCAGAAAAAGUUAUUCCAACAAUCACGUUACGGGGGUCCAAUGUUCCAGACAUCUUGGUUCAUACACUCCUAUACUAGCUACUUCCACCCUAUUUCCACUAUUUGCAAUUUUAAAAGUUUUUGUAGCUGGUUGCCCGCAUACACUACAAUAACUUUUAAUUUUAGUAACAUCGUCGCUAAGUGCCAAAAUAUAAGCAGAACUUUCAAAUGGUAUGCCAGAACUAUCUUGAUCUAAUCCAGCGGCAACUAUAUUAACUCCAUUUAAGCGAUGGAAACUACAGGGCUAGAGUGUGGUAGGGGCAGAGGGAAUUCCCGGUGUAGCGGUGAAAUGCGUAGAUAUCGGGAAGAACACCAGUGGCGAAGGCGCUCUGCUGGGCCAUCACUGACACUCAUGGACGAAAGCCAGGGGAGCGAAAGGGAUUAGAUACCCCUGUAGUCCUGGCCGUAAACGAUGAACACUAGGUGUCGGGGGAAUCGACCCCCUCGGUGUCGUAGCCAACGCGUUAAGUGUUCCGCCUGGGGAGUACGCACGCAAGUGUGAAACUCAAAGGAAUUGACGGGGGCCCGCACAAGCGGUGGAGUAUGUGGUUUAAUUCGAUGCAACGCGAAGAACCUUACCAGGGUUUGACAUCCUGCGAAUCCCUUGGAAACGAGGGAGUGCCUUCGGGAGCGCAGAGACAGGUGGUGCAUGGCUGUCGUCAGCUCGUGUCGUGAGAUGUUGGGUUAAGUCCCGCAACGAGCGCAACCCACGUCCUUAGUUGCCAGCAUUCAGUUGGGGACUCUAGGGAGACCGCCGGUGACAAACCGGAGGAAGGUGUGGAUGACGUCAAGUCAUCAUGCCCCUUACGUCUUGGGCUACACACGUACUACAAUGGUCGGGACAGAGGGCUGCAAGCUCGCGAGAGCAAGCUAAUCUCGUAAACCCGGCCUCAGUUCAGAUUGCAGGCUACAACUCGCCUGCAUGAAGGAGGAAUCGCUAGUAAUCGCAGGUCAGCAUACUGCGGUGAAUACGUUCCCGGGCCUUGUACACACCGCCCGUCAAGCCAUGGAAGCUGGGGGUACCUGAAGUCGGUGACC